rnacentral:lncRNA from 13 species
AUGCCACAGCUCCAGUACUGGGUCUAAUCCAGUGCUAUAUGAAUCAAUGCACCUGUUACCACUUACUUGUAUGUAGCCUACCACUUUUACAGUGAUGAAGAUGGUUCGUUACUUAAUCACCUAAUCCAAAAGACAUGCAUAGUGGUUUUAGAAUUGGGGAUGUAUACCACCCUUAGAAAGAACUCUACCAACUAAAGUACUUACAGAUGAAUCUUCACUCUUUAGAUUCAGAAUAUCCACUUAUUUGCUAAGUUACUUGGGUCAGUUGCUAUCUCCCCACUCCCUUCCGUGAGGUUAUUUCACUGAAGUGUACAGUUUUAUUAUGUCCAUCGUCCCGUGCUAUCUCCUACCUACUGUAUAAGGUUUUUUAUUUGCUUAUUUAUGUUAUAAAGUUAUUUAACAUUUGUAAGAUAUAAUUAUAUAUUUAUCAUUGUCGUAUGAUGCCAGUAUGAUUCCUUCCCAGAGGAAAUCUGCAGUACCUCAGCAGUUUGAACUGCCUCUCUUCUGAGCCCCCGAUUUGGUCUCUUUAGCGCUUGGAUUUGGGUACCUGAUCAUUCUGAGCCAAUUAUGUGUAUGUUAUGAGAGAGAAGUUCAACUUGCUUAUGGAUAUUCAAUUGUCCUAACAACAUUUGGUGUGAAAAUAUUUUCCAUAUUGAAUUGACUUGGCAACCUUGUAAAAUUAUUUGAUUAUAAAGUUCCACAUACUUGGGGAGGCCUCAGGAAACUUAAAAUCAUGGCAGAAGGUGAAGGGGAAGCAAAGCACAUCUUACAUGGUGGCAGAAGAGAAAAAGCCAGCGAGGAACUGCCACAUGCCUUAAACCAUCAGAUCCUGCUAAUUAACCCAUCUGCAUCCUCCACUACAAUGUCGAAAGCAAGUGUGAAGAGGGAACAUCCUUGUCUUGUUUAUAGUCUUGGAGAAAGUAUUGAGCCUUUUAGAUAA